rnacentral:rRNA from 1 species
GGCGACCGGCGCACGGGUGCGUAACGCGUAUGCAACCUACCCAUAACAGGGGGAUAACACUGAGAAAUUGGUACUAAUACCCCAUAACAUCAGGACCGGCAUCGGUUCUGGUUGAAAACUCCGGUGGUUAUGGAUGGGCAUGCGUUGUAUUAGCUGGUUGGUGAGGUAACGGCUCACCAAGGCAACGAUACAUAGGGGGACUGAGAGGUUAACCCCCCACAUUGGUACUGAGACACGGACCAAACUCCUACGGGAGGCAGCAGUGAGGAAUAUUGGUCAAUGGACGCAAGUCUGAACCAGCCAUGCCGCGUGCAGGAAGACGGCUCUAUGAGUUGUAAACUGCUUUUGUACGAGAGUAAACGCUCUUACGUGUAAGAGCCUGAAAGUAUCGUACGAAUAAGGAUCGGCUAACUCCGUGCCAGCAGCCGCGGUAAUACGGAGGAUCCAAGCGUUAUCCGGAUUUAUUGGGUUUAAAGGGUGCGUAGGCGGUUUGAUAAGUUAGAGGUGAAAUACCGGUGCUUAACACCGGAACUGCCUCUAAUACUGUUGAACUAGAGAGUAGUUGCGGUAGGCGGAAUGUAUGGUGUAGCGGUGAAAUGCUUAGAGAUCAUACAGAACACCGAUUGCGAAGGCAGCUUACCAAACUAUAUCUGACGUUGAGGCACGAAAGCGUGGGGAGCAAACAGGAUUAGAUACCCUGGUAGUCCACGCAGUAAACGA